AUGAACGCUGGCGGCGUGCCUAAUACAUGCAAGUCGAGCGAACAGACGAGGAGCUUGCUCCUCUGACGUUAGCGGCGGACGGGUGAGUAACACGUGGAUAACCUACCUAUAAGACUGGGAUAACUUCGGGAAACCGGAGCUAAUACCGGAUAAUAUAUUGAACCGCAUGGUUCAAUAGUGAAAGACGGUUUUGCUGUCACUUAUAGAUGGAUCCGCGCCGCAUUAGCUAGUUGGUAAGGUAACGGCUUACCAAGGCAACGAUGCGUAGACGACCUGAGAGGGGGACAGGAGACAAUGGAAGUGAGACGCGAUGCGGGAGCGGACGUGAGGCCACAGGAGGGAAGUUGAGGAAAUGGCUGAAAGCAAAAAGUAUCAAACCAGAGAAAGAGAAGAAGGUAUACGAAUCUUAAAACUCUGUAAUUAAACAAAAAAAAAAGCCAAAGUAAAUAUGCACGCAGCGACGGUACUAAAACAGAAAGCAACGCACAACUACCU
rnacentral:rRNA from 1 species